GAUGAACGCUGGCGGCGUGCCUAACACAUGCAAGUCGAACGAAGCACCUUACCUGAUUCUUCGGAUGAAAGUUUGGUGACUGAGUGGCGGACGGGUGAGUAACGCGUGGGUAACCUGCCCUGUACAGGGGGAUAACAGCUGGAAACGGCUGCUAAUACCGCAUAAGCGCACGAGGAGACAUCUCCUUGUGUGAAAAACUCCGGUGGUACAGGAUGGGCCCGCGUCUGAUUAGCUGGUUGGCAGGGUAACGGCCUACCAAGGCAGCGAUCAGUAGCCGGUCUGAGAGGAUGAACGGCCACAUUGGAACUGAGACACGGUCCAAACUCCUACGGGAGGCAGCAGUGGGGAAUAUUGCACAAUGGGGGAAACCCUGAUGCAGCAACGCCGCGUGAGUGAAGAAGUAUUUCGGUAUGUAAAGCUCUAUCAGCAGGGAAGAUAAUGACGGUACCUGACUAAGAAGCUCCGGCUAAAUACGUG
rnacentral:rRNA from 1 species